CCGUACACAAAAGCGCAUGUGCUGUGAGCUCGAUGAGUAGGGCGGGACACGUGGUAUCCUGUCUGAAUAUGGGGGGACCAUCCUCCAAGGCUAAAUACUCCUGACUGACCGAUAGUGAACCAGUACCGUGAGGGAAAGGCGAAAAGAACCCCGGCGAGGGGAGUGAAAAAGAACCUGAAACCGUGUACGUACAAGCAGUGGGAGCACAGGUUUACCUGUGUGACUGCGUACCUUUUGUAUAAUGGGUCAGCGACUUAUAUUCUGUAGCAAGGUUAACCGAAUAGGGGAGCCGGAGGGAAACCGAGUCUUAAUUGGGCGUUAAGUUGCAGGGUAUAGACCCGAAACCCGGUGAUCUAGCCAUGGGCAGGUUGAAGGUUGGGUAACACUAACUGGAGGACCGAACCGACUAAUGUUGAAAAAUUAGCGGAUGACCUGUGGCUGGGGGUGAAAGGCCAAUCAAACCGGGAGAUAGCUGGUUCUCCCCGAAAGCUAUUUAGGUAGCGCCUCGUGAAUUCAUCUCCGGGGGUAGAGCACUGUUUCGGCUAGGGGGCCAUCCCGGCUUACCAACCCGAUGCAAACUGCGAAUACCGGAGAAUGUUAUCACGGGAGACACACGGCGGGUGCUAACGUCCGUCGUGAAGAGGGAAACAACCCAGACCGCCAGCUAAGGUCCCAAAGUCAUGGUUAAGUGGGAAACGAUGUGGGAAGGCCCAGACAGCCAGGAUGUUGGCUUAGAAGCAGCCAUCAUUUAAAGAAAGCGUAAUAGCUCACUGGUCGAGUCGGCCUGCGCGGAAGAUGUAACGGGGCUAAACCAUGCACCGAAGCUGCGGCAGCGAACGUAUCACCCAAGACAACUUUACGGAGUUGACGAUUGACGGAGCGAAGCGACGUCAAAGCGUUCAUUAAAGUCGAGUUGGCUUAGGGAUACGUUCGUUGGGUAGGGGAGCGUUCUGUAAGCCUGUGAAGGUGUGUCGUGAGGCAUGCUGGAGGUAUCAGAAGUGCGAAUGCUGACAUAAGUAACGAUAAAGCGGGUGAAAAGCCCGCUCGCCGGAAGACCAAGGGUUCCUGUCCAACGUUAAUCGGGGCAGGGUGAGUCGACCCCUAAGGCGAGGCCGAAAGGCGUAGUCGAUGGGAAACGGGUUAAUAUUCCCGUACUUGGUGUUACUGCGAAGGGGGGACGGAGAAGGCUAUGUUGGCCGGGCGACGGUUGUCCCGGUUUAAGCGUGUAGGUGUGUGUUCCAGGUAAAUCCGGUUCACUUUAACACUGAGGCGUGACGACGAGGCACUACGGUGCUGAAGCAACAAAUGCCCUGCUUCCAGGAAAAGCCUCUAAGCAUCAGGUAACAUCAAAUCGUACCCCAAACCGACACAGGUGGUCAGGUAGAGAAUACCAAGGCGCUUGAGAGAACUCGGGUGAAGGAACUAGGCAAAAUGGUGCCGUAACUUCGGGAGAAGGCACGCUGACACGUAGGUGAAGUGAUUUACUCAUGGAGCUGAAGUCAGUCGAAGAUACCAGCUGGCUGCAACUGUUUAUUAAAAACACAGCACUGUGCAAACACGAAAGUGGACGUAUACGGUGUGACGCCUGCCCGGUGCCGGAAGGUUAAUUGAUGGGGUCAGCGCAAGCGAAGCUCCUGAUCGAAGCCCCGGUAAACGGCGGCCGUAACUAUAACGGUCCUAAGGUAGCGAAAUUCCUUGUCGGGUAAGUUCCGACCUGCACGAAUGGCGUAAUGAUGGCCAGGCUGUCUCCACCCGAGACUCAGUGAAAUUGAACUCGCUGUGAAGAUGCAGUGUACCCGCGGCAAGACGGAAAGACCCCGUGAACCUUUACUAUAGCUUGACACUGAACAUUGAGCCUUGAUGUGUAGGAUAGGUGGGAGGCUUUGAAGUGUGGACGCCAGUCUGCAUGGAGCCGACCUUGAAAUACCACCCUUUAAUGUUUGAUGUUCUAACGUGGACCCGUAAUCCGGGUUGCGGACAGUGUCUGGUGGGUAGUUUGACUGGGGCGGUCUCCUCCUAAAGAGUAACGGAGGAGCACGAAGGUUGGCUAAUCCUGGUCGGACAUCAGGAGGUUAGUGCAAUGGCAUAAGCCAGCUUGACUGCGAGCGUGACGGCGCGAGCAGGUGCGAAAGCAGGUCAUAGUGAUCCGGUGGUUCUGAAUGGAAGGGCCAUCGCUCAACGGAUAAAAGGUACUCCGGGGAUAACAGGCUGAUACCGCCCAAGAGUUCAUAUCGACGGCGGUGUUUGGCACCUCGAUGUCGGCUCAUCACAUCCUGGGGCUGAAGUAGGUCCCAAGGGUAUGGCUGUUCGCCAUUUAAAGUGGUACGCGAGCUGGGUUUAGAACGUCGUGAGACAGUUCGGUCCCUAUCUGCCGUGGGCGCUGGAGAACUGAGGGGGGCUGCUCCUAGUACGAGAGGACCGGAGUGGACGCAUCACUGGUGUUCGGGUUGUCAUGCCAAUGGCACUGCCCGGUAGCUAAAUGCGGAAGAGAUAAGUGCUGAAAGCAUCUAAGCACGAAACUUGCCCCGA
rnacentral:rRNA from 1 species